rnacentral:rRNA from 1 species
GAUGAACGCUGGCGGCGUGCCUAAUACAUGCAAGUCGAGCGAACAGACGAGGAGCUUGCUCCUCUGACGUUAGCGGCGGACGGGUGAGUAACACGUGGAUAACCUACCUAUAAGACUGGGAUAACUUCGGGAAACCGGAGCUAAUACCGGAUAAUAUAUUGAACCGCAUGGUUCAAUAGUGAAAGACGGUUUUGCUGUCACUUAUAGAUGGAUCCGCGCCGCAUUAGCUAGUUGGUAAGGUAACGGCUUAUCAAGGCAACGAUGCGUAGCCGACCUGAGAGGGUGAUCGGCCACACUGGAACUGAGACACGGUCCAGACUCCUACGGGAGGCAGCAGUAGGGAAUCUUCCGCAAUGGGCGAAAGCCUGACGGAGCAACGCCGCGUGAAUGAUGAAGGUCUUCGGAUCGUAAAACUCUGUUAUUAGGGAAGAACAAAUGUGUAAGUAACUAUGCACGUCUUGACGGUACCUAAUCAGAAAGCCACGGCUAACUACGUG